GAUGAAGAACGCAGCGAAAUGCGAUAAGUAAUGUGAAUUGUAGAAUUCAGUGAAUCAUCGAAUCUUUGAACGCACCUUGCGCCCUUUGGCCAUUCCGAAGGGCAUGCCUGUUUGAGUAUCAUGAACACCUCAACUCUUCAUGGUUUUCCGUGAUGAGCUUGGACUUUGGGGGUCUUGCUGGCCUAUGGUCAGCUCCUCUAAAAUAAAUCAGCUUGCCAGUGUUUGGUGGGUAUCACAGGUGUGAUAACUAUCUACGCUUGUGGUUUUCCACCAGGUAACCUUCAGCAGUGGAGGUUCGCUGGAGCUCACAGAUGUGUCUCUCCUCAGUGAGGACAGCUCUUUGAAUGUUUGAUCUCAAAUCAGGUAGGACUACCCGCUGAACUUAAGCAUAUCAAUAAGCGGAGGA
rnacentral:misc_RNA from 1 species